rnacentral:rRNA from 1 species
GAUGAACGCUAGCGGCAGGCUUAAUACAUGCAAGUCGAGGGGUAGCAUGAUUGUAGCAAUACAAUUGAUGACGACCGGCAAACGGGUGCGGAACACGUACACAACCUUCCUACAAGUGGGGAAUAGCCCAGAGAAAUUUGGAUUAAUACCCCGUAACAUAGCGAUGUGGCAUCACAUUGCUAUUAUAGCUUCGGCGCUUGUUGAUGGGUGUGCGGCUGAUUAGAUAGUUGGCGGGGUAACGGCCCACCAAGUCUACGAUCAGUAGCUGAUGUGAGAGCAUGAUCAGCCACACGGGCACUGAGACACGGGCCCGACUCCUACGGGAGGCAGCAGUAAGGAAUAUUGGUCAAUGGGCGCAAGCCUGACAGCCAUGCCGCGUGCA